UACAUCGGAACGUGCCCAAUCGUGGGGGAUAACGUAGCGAAAGCUACGCUAAUACCGCAUACGAUCUACGGAUGAAAGCGGGGGACUCGCAAGGGCCUCGCGCGAAUGGAGCGGCCGAUGGCAGAUUAGGUAGUUGGUGGGGUAAAGGCUCACCAAGCCUUCGAUCUGUAGCUGGUCUGAGAGGACGACCAGCCACACUGGGACUGAGACACGGCCCAG
rnacentral:rRNA from 1 species